ACACUGACUUCUGAAAACAGAAAAAUGUGCUUUGUAGUAAAAGAGGCCGCCUCGACUCCAAGCUUACGUCCGCUUCUCCCACCGUUCAGCAUCCUGACAGAGCAUGGAGCCAUGAAGGGGAGGAGGCCAGAGCACUGGCCACCCAUCUGUGUAAUACAGCCCGAGGCUGCGGCGCCAAGACGAUCCUUCAUUCUGAGGCAUGGUGGUACAUGACUGGAAGCCUGGCACUCAAGAGGCAGAGGUACAGAAGCCUAAAGCCAUCCUCUGCUACAUAGGGAGUUUGGGGCCAGCCUGGUGCACAUGAAAUGUUGGCAAAGAUGGAGAAGCAGCUAUGAACAUCUGGGCCAGCUGUUCUGCGCAGGUGAAAUGAGUCACUGUACUGGUUCGUUUUGUCAACUUUGACAGACACAAGCUGGGGUCAUCUGGGAAGACAGAACCUCAGUUGAGAACAUGCCUCCCACCCCCAUCAGAUUGGCCUGUAGACAAACCCCGUGGAUCAUCAUCUUAUUUAAUGACCAGUGUGGGAGGGCCCCAACCCAUUGUGGGUGGUGCCAUCCCUAGGCAGGCAGCCCUGUUGUGCUUUAAGAAAGCAGACUGAGCCAGCCACAAGGAGUGAGGCAGUAGGCAGUGUUCCUUCAUCGCUUCUGUUUCAGUUCCUGUCAUCCCUGAAUGCCCUCAGGGAUGGAGUGUAAGCUGUAAGCUGAAAUAAACCCCUUUCUCCCCAACAUACUUUGGUCAUGGUGUUUACCACAGUCAAUAGAAAGCAUAGUGUGAGUUCCAGGACAGCCAGGGCUACACAGAGAAACCCUGUCUCAACCUCCCCACCCCCCCCACCCCCCCACAAAACAUCUAAGGACACGGGUGCGACAUAGUGACUGAGCCUGCGUCAUCAGUGUUCCUUGGCAGCUUAAACCUGCUAGACAGGUUGGUAAACAGCUUGGCAGUUAGAGGACCUCACUAGUCUUGCAGAGGACCUGGGUUUGGUUCCCAGCACCCAGGUCAGGAAGCUCAUAACCACCUCUUAACUCCAGCUCCUGCAGAUCCGGUGCCCCCUUGUGGUCUCCUCAGAUAGCCACAACUCCACUAGCAGCGUAUGAGAAUGCUAUAAUAACAGUAACAACUAUUACUUCUACUACUUCCUGGCCAAGAAGAUGAUUGUGGGGGGGGGGAGAUGAUAAGUAUUUGCUAAAGGCCAUCCCACGCCAGCUGUGUUUAUUUGUUGAACUCCAUCUCCAUGCCUGUGGACCAAACAGCCAUGGUGCUUUAGAUCUGUAGUUUAUAUAGUGCAUCUUUCAACACCCUGAAACCUUGACCCAAGUUGUAGCCGAAGGAAAGAGGGUUUCUGGUAAAUACGGUUUCCAGUCAGGAGCCCCAAGCCAAGUCUCCCCAUCCCUCCUCUUCCUGGAGUGGACCACCUCUGUGGUUGGAACCGCUGGCAAUCCAUCAAAAAGGGAGGUUGGUUGACUUGGAGCUGAGACUGUAAGUGCUUAUAAGAAAUGAAAGACAUGGUUUGGGGUGAAAAAGUCAUGCUUCCAGGUACAAAGGCGAAGCCACUAAUAACCCAAGGAUUCGGCGUUCCAUCUGACCUGCUCUGAUACGGUCACUAUGGUGACAGUCUCCAUAAACAGCCUCAACAUAACCAAACGAAACAAAACAGAACAGAAAAAGGAAGGAGAAACUUCCACCCCGGUGACCUGGAGGUAUUUUAGGGAUCAAGGCAAUGUUGUAUGGGGUAAAUAUUGAACGCAGAAUCUGUUCUUUUAAUAACCGGUCCUCCCUCCCUCUUGGGAGUCUGAACAAAGGCUCAGCAGAUCACAGAACGAAGCCCCAGCCCAGUGUCUUCAGGGUUCAGAAAGUGCAGCCAAGAGAACGGAAACAAAUGGGUACGGACAGACAUUCAGAUUCUUCUCACACCCUCCGCCUGGGACACUCAGCGGAGCCUUCUGUGGAGUUCAAGGGUGGAACAAGGCUCAUGUUCUCUGGAAAAGAGGCUGGGCCUUGGGCUCCAGGGAACUGAACUUGGUUCCCCGUCCCUGACCUUGAUUCCUGAGCCAGCAGCAGUGAUGGAGGGAAGCAUCUUUAAGCCACACCAAGUCUCUGGGGGCAUCUGCAUCUGCUGCAAAUUCCUCUGCCGCUCCCAGCCUCGUGCUACUCUCUUUGAAUCCCUGACUCAGCGAGCUGCAGUCCAAAGAGCAGAACUAACUAUGUUAUUCCUUCUCCUUCUCCUUCUUCUUCUUUUUUUUUUUUAAUGCCAA
rnacentral:lncRNA from 1 species